rnacentral:rRNA from 1 species
AGUGAACGCUGGCGGUAGGCCUAACACAUGCAAGUCGAACGGCAGCACAGUAAGAGCUUGCUCUUACGGGUGGCGAGUGGCGGACGGGUGAGGAAUACAUCGGAAUCUACUUUUUCGUGGGGGAUAACGUAGGGAAACUUACGCUAAUACCGCAUACGACCUACGGGUGAAAGCAGGGGAUCUUCGGACCUUGCGCGAUUGAAUGAGCCGAUGUCGGAUUAGCUAGUUGGCGGGGUAAAGGCCCACCAAGGCGACGAUCCGUAGCUGGUCUGAGAGGAUGAUCAGCCACACUGGAACUGAGACACGGUCCAGACUCCUACGGGAGGCAGCAGUGGGGAAUAUUGGACAAUGGGCGCAAGCCUGAUACAGCCAUACCGCGUGGGUGAAGAAGGCCUUCGGGUCGUAAAGCCCUUUUGUUGGGAAAGAAAAGCAGCAGGUUAAUACCCCGCUGUUCUGACGGUACCCAAAGAAUAAGCACCGGCUAACUUCGUG